AUCAUACGGUUUGGAGGUCUUCUCAGGCCCGAUCUCCCAACCCUUUGUUUAUUGAACUCUUGUUGCUUCGGCGGGCCCGUCGUUAUACGGCCGCCGGAGGACCGACUCCAGGUCCUCUGGCCCGCGCCCGCCGAUAGCCAAAAUUACCAAACUCUUGAAUAAUCGUGCCUAUGAUGUCUGAGUACUAUAUUAAAAAUAAAAGCAAAACUUUCAACAACGGAUCUCUUGGUUCUGGCAUCGAUGAAGAACGCAGCGAAAUGCGAUAAGUAAUGCGAAUUGCAGAAUUCCAGUGAGUCAUCGAAUCUUUGAACGCACAUUGCGCCCUUUGGUAUUCCGAAGGGCAUGCCUGUUCGAGCGUCAUUAUCACCCCUCAAGCCCUCCGGCUUGGUGUUGGACGGUCUGGUCGAGCUGCUCGACCCCUCCCAAAGACAAUGACGGCGGCCUGGUUGGACCCCCGGUACAUGGAGCUUCUUAAUUGAGCACGUAUCGGUUUCAAGGCGUCCCCGGGACCCGGUCUCCUCUCUCCCCCUCGCGGGAGGGAAACCCCCCUUUUUUCUAAGGUUGACCUCGGAUCAGGUAGGAAUACCCGCUGAACUUAAGCAUAUCAUU
rnacentral:rRNA from 1 species